ACACCGAGAACCAUGAUGAAAAC
rnacentral:piRNA from 1 species